rnacentral:rRNA from 1 species
CCCGUAGGGGACGAGCGUUGUCCGGAAUCAUUGGGCGUAAAGAGCUCGUAGGCGGUCUGUCGCGUCGAAUGUGAAAACCCGGGGCUCAACCCCGGGCCUGCAUUCGAUACGGGCAGACUAGAGUUCGGUAGGGGAGUCUGGAAUUCCUGGUGUAGCGGUGAAAUGCGCAGAUAUCAGGAGGAACACCGGUGGCGAAGGCGGGACUCUGGGCCGAUACUGACGCUGAGGAGCGAAAGCGUGGGGAGCGAACAGG